rnacentral:rRNA from 1 species
GUGUCAGCAGCCGCGGUAAUACGAAGGGUGCAAGCGUUAAUCGGAAUUACUGGGCGUAAAGCGCGCGUAGGUGGUUCAGCAAGUUGGAUGUGAAAGCCCUGGGCUCAACCUGGGAACUGCAUCCAAAACUACUGAGCUAGAGUACGGUAGAGGGUAGUGGAAUUUCCUGUGUAGCGGUGAAAUGCGUAGAUAUAGGAAGGAACACCAGUGGCGAAGGCGACUACCUGGACUGAUACUGACACUGAGGUGCGAAAGCGUGGGGAGCAAACAGGAUUAGAAACCCUAGUAGUCC